ensembl:lncRNA
AAACAUGACUAAAGUUACCAGUUGCAUAAUUAUGUUUUCUCUUUUUUUUUUUCAGACAAUUGAAAACUUAAAAGCAAAACUAAGUGACUUGCACACUGAACACAGAAACCUCUCUGCUGAUUUUGAGGAGAACAAGAAACACUAUCAGGAAUGUUUGAAUUCUGUGAAGGUGAAAAUAAAAUUAUACUUGAUUUAUAUUAAGGUAUGAGUUAUAAAUAUCUUACUUAAAAACUAAAAAGUGCUUAAAUAAUUCCAUGUUUGUCAUUUGAUUAUUGUAUGUUAUUUAUUUGCUAUUAGCAAAGCCUUAGUGUGAUGUUAUUGAGGUACGAGGAGAUUUCAAACCAGAUGAAGGAGCUCGACCUGAAGUCUCAAGAGUUAAUGCUGGUUUUGAUUUGUUGUCUGUUUCAGGGGUUUGUCAAACACUAUGGCGUUCAAACAUGGCACAGCCACAGUAGUGAUGGGUAAUGUGCACAGGGAUAUAGCUUCCUGUGAACAGAGGAAGUCUCAUCACGCACAGAUUCACUCAGCACUGUUCACUCAACGCCAGGCUGUCAUGAAGGACACAGAGGGUAAUCUACAGGAAGCCCUAAAAGCCAAUCUGAAGUUAUCUCAAGAGUACAGAGAGCUGCAGAAAGCUCUGAUGAUUGCCAGUCAAGAAGCCGUUUGUGUUUUUACAUAAGAAACAGAGCAGAGGCCUUCAUCCAAGAUCACAAGCAGCUUUCUUUGUUGCAGAAGAGGAUGCACAAAGCCAUGCUAAAAUACUUCAAACACCGCAGCGUCUACAGCCAGGCAGAGCUGGCCCGCUUCCAGACCCUCUCCAACCAGAACAACCAGAAAAUGAAAGCCCUCCAGGAGGAGUUGUCAAACGCAAUCCAGCGCCUCUCUCAGUUCCUGCUCUCGCUGACAGAUGACUCAACUACCAGCCAUGUCCCGCAGCAAGCAAACAGACCCAUCGCAGAUGCCGAUGGAUGGAGCAGGAAGAUGCAUACAGUUCAGAUAGCGGCGUAAUUGGACGCUCACCUGGACCAGACAACUUACUUAAACCCCCAGCAUGCUUCACUCUCUCCCCUGUCCGACGCUCACGGCCCAAUCCAUAACAAUGAAGCAGGUGACUUUCAUGCUACUGUCAGGAAUGAUCUAAUUUUAGCGGGGUGAAUGAUUGCAAUUGGCUUUGCCUCAUCAGAUAAUUAAUCUAUGUCACCAUUAAUUGGAAAAGAGAAUAAUUAGGGGGCUGUGUUGACAGAAAUUCUACGCUUCUCUAGAUUCUUGGAUCUAAUUACACCUACUUAAACCCCUCUGACCUUAACUAGCAGAUAGUAUACCUGUGUAACCCUAACCAGGCUGGGGUUACUCUCGACCGCCUCUCGCUCUGCGUCCUUUGUCAUUUUUUUCCUCCUUUCUGGCUUGUUUAUCCUCUCUUUUCCUGUCUCCUCAGAGAGCUGUCUCCCUCAAUCACUUUUCAAUAUUCAAUCUUAAUUUUGUGGAAGUUUAGCAUUUUCAAUGAGCUGGAGAUGAAUGAUUAAUGAAUAAAUUUGAAUGCUUCAUUUUGUCCA